CAGAGAGAGGGAGAGAGAGAGUUAGUGUUUUUGUUUUUACCAUCCUUAUGGUAACCAGUUGUCCUCACAAGGAUAGUAAAACAAGGAAGAUUUGGACAAGUGGGGACAUUUUGCUGGUCCCCACAAGGGAAAAGGCCAUUUUAGGCUUAAGGUUAGGAGUUAGAGUUAAGGUUAGGAGUUAGGGUUAAGGUUAGGAGUUAGGGUUAAGGUUAGGAGUUAGGGUUAAGGUUAGGAGUUAGGGUUAAGGUUAGGAGUUAGGGUUAAGGUUAGGAGUUAGAGUUAAGGUUAGGAGUUAGAGUUAAGGUUAGGAGUUAGAGUUAAGGUUAGGAGUUAGGGUUAAGGUUAGGAGUUAGGGUUAAGGUUAGGAGUUAGGGUUAAGGUUAGGAGUUAGGGUUAAGGUUAGG